rnacentral:lncRNA from 1 species
GCCUUGGUUCCUCAGAUUAUUCAAAACUAAUCUCAGCAAUCACAGUAUAAAGUGGUCAUGUUCUUUUAUGUUUCCACAGACCAACAUAAGGUUUCACUUUCUAUGAGUGGUAAACUGACGGAUCUGGUAGAAACCCUUCACAAGUCUGUCUGUGAUUCUGCUCCUGUAAGUUUCUAUGCCACGUACUAUUUGCAGGUGUUUCUGUUGAGGAUAAAGGAUUAGGGUUCAGGCCAAAGUUAGAAUUCAGAGGAGGAGAUUUAUAAGCAUUUAAGCCGUGUGUGUUUGUGUCUGUGUAGGAGGUGCAGCCAGAUGCAGACCUGAUUUUGGAUAUUGUGUUGUUCCUGUGGGGUAAGAUGAAAGCGGUGAUACAGAGAGAUCCUCUGCAAAAUCAUGACAAGUGGUUGUGGUGUCUUUAUGUGUUGUAUGAGGUGGCCCUCGCCUGUGACCUGGCAGCUGUUGACUGUAUCAUGAUAGCAGAGAUGAGCCACACAUUGGGCAUGCUGCUUGAGAAUGCAGCUGAAUAUUUUCUUGAAACUUCAACGUCAGGAGUUUGCGAAAGAGACUGUGAUGAUGCAAAACCAAACUCUUUCUCUAUUCUUGAGGUAUGUAAAUAGACUGGUUGGGCAUACCAUCAAAAUGUGAACAAAUGACAUCAUACUGCAUGGUGCUAUUGGGCCGUGUCCUGUCUCUUGUUUACUGAAAGUAUGAAGUGAACUAUGUAUAUGUGUGUUUGUGUUUGCAGAGUUCAAGCACAGAGCUGCUUCAGAAAGUGUGUGAGGUGGUAAAGAGGGGUCUCGAGGCUUUGGCAAGGGGUGUGGCUACGCUGGCCCCCCAGGACUGCUCAGCUUUCACUGACUUUGCGUUCAUACAGGUACACAGUCAUCUUGUCCCACACUCAUUUCUAGCAUUUUUGUAAAUAUUCUUUCUCACAUUUACUGAGUUUAUUUACUAAAUCUUGUAUGGGCAUGGAGUUUUUUUUAAUUGCAUGUGUUCUUCUUCUGAUAGAAAUUUAGUCCCCUCCAGUCAUCGGCUUUUUCCACAACUUCUUCAACAUCAUCAAAACACAGAAAUGAAGACGAUAAAAUAAAUCUGAAAAAAGGAGAGGUGGAAACUCAGAAAGAAUCUGACUUAAAAGGCUGUCAACAAACUGAAGCCACAUGGAUGUAUCUUCUGAUCAAAGAUCUCCACCUAGAGUUGGACAUUAUCCUCCACAGGGCUUCCCUCAAAUUGCUGCAGCUAAAUGCAGGUCAGAGUUGCUCUGGUGGUGGUUUUAUUCAUCAGUGAUUUUGGACAAGUAGUUCAAGCUCUG